GGAGGCAUAGCUCAGCUGGUAGAGCGCUCGCCUCACACGCGAGAGGUCACAGAUUCGAGUUCUGUUGUCUCCACCA
rnacentral:tRNA from 21 species